GGGAGUAUAGCUCAGUCAGUAGAGCGCUCGACCGAUAAUCGAGAGGUCGCAGGAGCAAAGCCUGCUACUCCCACCA
rnacentral:tRNA from 1 species